rnacentral:tRNA from 1 species
GGUCUGGUGGUGUAGUUGGUUAUCACGUCAGUCUAACAGGUCGAGAGAUUUGCGUCUCACGCCUGGUUCACUGAAGGUCUCCGGUUCAAGUCCGGGCUAGAUCA